GUGGGAUUAUGACUGAACGACUCUAAGUCAGAAUCCCGCC
rnacentral:precursor_RNA from 1 species